UACGAAGGGGGCUAGCGUUGUUCGAAAUUACUGGGCGUAAAGCGUGCGCAGGCGGUUUUGUAAGUCAGAUGUGAAAUCCCCGGGCUCAACCUGGGAACUGCGUUUGAAACUACAAGGCUAGAGUGUAGCAGAGGGGGGGUAGAAUUCCACGUGUAGCAGUGAAAUGCGUAGAGAUGUGGAGGAAUACCAAUGGCGAAGGCAGCCCCCCUGGGUUAACACUGACGCUCAUGCACGAAAGCGUGGGGAGCAAACAGG
rnacentral:rRNA from 1 species